rnacentral:lncRNA from 1 species
CUCGAUAUGGCGCGAUUAUCGAUACGUACAUACAGUGUCCCGGUUGGCGGUGCGACGUAACAGCGAUGAACGCCGUCGCGGAGCCACACGUCGAACGACAGUUGGCGAAUUGUCGCAUUUUUAUCGCACAAUUUCCCAUAGCGUAUCUCAUUUUUGUCAUCGGGAUAUUUGGUUGGACUUGCGGAUGCUACACAUCCGUAAUGACGAAAUGUCAUUACUACUCUUCGUUUCGUCUCACCUCCCAUCCGUGCAGACACGAUUAUGCGAACAUGUUGGGUUUACGGACGACGUUCGUCGGUCAUACGUUCUCGUACACACGCGCCGUAUGAAUGAAAAUAAGUUGGCGUUGCCGCGAAACAAAAGCUGCAUAAAAUACGUGCAAUGAUAUUCCGCGCGUUAUUUGUCAUUCCAUCUGACAAUGAGAUCUGAACAGAGAGAAGAGAUACGCGAAUGCACCGUUACCGUUACGUGUGUAAAAUUGCAUCGCGCCACGCAAUUAAAACACAUCUCGAUCAAUCAUUAGUGAAUUGAUUGCGUUAGCCCGUUAAUUCAUCCGCGUAACAAAUUAUUAGGCUCACUGUAGUAGAGUGGAAUUACGUUACAACGAUGUUCCGACAACGCCGAGAAUGCAUCGAUUCGCUUGAUGCUUCAGAGCAGAGACACGGCUGAUAAGCAGAGCGUAAAUGUGAGAUUGUUGCACGGCAAAGUUAGAGCUACGCGUAUCCUUUCAAAAACGUGAAAUUCAUUGAAAUCCUGUUGCUCGGACUCUUUUUUUCCUCUCUCCGCAUGUUGAACGUAACUCGUUAACGUACGAAUUCAAACGAACUUGUCGAAUGUAUUUAUGCAAUAAUCUUCUCUUCCAAUAGAAUCUCUGAGUCAAGCGAGUUAUUCUAGAUCGCGUUGACACUGUUCUUUGCUACCGAAAGGAAAUACUCGCGGUCAGGAGAAGCGCGAGAUUCAAUUACCGUCCGUGUGGGUAAGCUAAAAAUAAAUCCGACAUUCAUCCAAGCGAAAACCGCGAAUCGCGAUUAACUUUGUUCGUAAAAGGGAGACAUUUUCAUUGAUAUAUGGGAGAAAACGAGAUGUUGGAGCCUGUAAUUCGAUUAAUUCGCGCUUUUGCCGUCAAUAUCACGUCACGUUACUACAAUGCGAAUAUUACAUCGAGAUGUCGGUCCAGGAUACUUGUGUUCCUUACUCGUACGGAUCUGUCGUUAUGAGAUUUUUCGCAACGCGCAACGCGCUUUUCCGCAGUAUCCUUGAAACUCGAACGCGGAUCGUUCUCGAAAAAUUGGAGAUAGUUAUUCUCGGUGGUCACGCGAGGUACGGCAUGUCGCCGAUCAUCUCGUAACGAUUUUUGCGCGCUGUCGACUUUUGCGACAUCUCGAUCGUUAUCACAUGUUAAGGCGUUUUGUUAUCAAGUUAAAAAAAGCUCGCAAUUCGCAGGAGAAUUGUUGACUCUGUGUAUUACUACAGAUAAUAGAAAACUGAAACUUUGGUUCAUGUUUAAACGGAAUAGAUGGUUUUUCCCCCGCUAUAAAUAUGUCUUCUUUCCCGAAAAAUUACGGGAUUCUGCGAUUUAUGAUGACAAUUCUCAUUAUUAUGCGACAACGUUGCAGAUAAUCUGCGUCGCAUGUCUUCGCAUCCUUAAAUUGCUAUCGUAAUAUUAUUUCACAAUCUCGCCAGUUUAACACCGUAUGAACUUUGACUAAAAUGGCUAAAACGUCAUUGGUAAUAAGGGGCCGAGUAUCGAGGGCGAGCCGAAAAUGAAACCGCGCGAGUUCCGGACUCGGGAUACGACAGAUUCUAGAAAUAGGCCACGAAUCUCCCGGCGAGACAUCUGCACCUCGCGGUAUGCGGCUAGCGGUAUCUGGACUUUGUACAAAUUGUUUUUAUAAGAUAAAACUCGACACGUGUGUGGUAGGAACGGUGAAACUGAGCAACGAGAGCGUCGCACGCAUUUUCCCACCAUAGUGUUUUUUCGGUGCAGGCAUCUUUGCGUGAGAGUCACACACGAGAUCCUACAAAUCUCACAUACGAUAAUCCCCGGAGCCGUGUCGCGUUAGAUCGAGACUGAAAAUGCAUCUGUUCAUUUUGUGAAUCUCGACAUAAUUUCAGAUUCGACAUUACGAUAAUGUCCGUAACACCGUGAUUGUAGAAAUGAUCACGCGUUCGAGCAUGCCCGCUACGAAAUCCACGCGAUUACGUGUUACCAUCCCUAUCAGUGUAUUACUAUCGAUUCGUUAUUUCGUACUUUUGGUGCGAAACGAAAACGAAAAUGGUUGGAAACUAACGUUCACGAGUAGAUGUAACGCGAAGCAGGAUAAAAAUCCGAGCAAAAACAGUCACGGUUUUACGGAUGAUCGCACCAUUUCGACGAUAUUACGAUAGCACGUGUACGCGACAUUAACAUUCGGCAUUGUCCGUAUUUCCUGUUAUUAUGCGCGCUACGUUACUCUCGCAGAUAUUGCACGAUGUUGAUGAAUUACCAUAUCGAUUUACCUACCAACAUAUCGACAUCUUUCCGGAACGAAACGGAACGGGUUUUUCGUAAAACAGCAUCGCGCGCAUUGUUCUCGGAUUACGGAUAUCGAUCGGCACAAAUAACGUGGGACGAGCUUGUUUGCGAGAAGAUAUCACGGAGGCGAUCUUGCAGUCCUUACUUUCUCAACUCUCCGGAUGAAUCAUACGCUCUACAAUACCGAAAUGUCCAAACGUCCGAUCGCAAAAAACAUGAAAUUGUAAAUGGAACGGACAGCCGAUUCCAUAUUAUUGUAACGUAAUAAGAUAAUAUAAUAGAUAUUUAUAUUGAAUAUAUGAAUAUCUGUAUCCGUAUCAGAGAUUAUUGUUCUCGAUAUCGUUUGCGCGGGUGAAUCUCUCGCAAAUCAUCGCACGAUCAUCGCUACGCCCGCGCCGAUCCGAUCGGAGAAUUCACACGUUUACGUCAGUAGAAUUGAUCACACUCCGAGAGACAUCUCUGGAAAACUGUCACUCAGCCGUACGAAAAUAAAACCACGUCAUUAGUAGUCCGAGAAUCACAUGGUUCCUUUUAGAUUCGUUCGCAUAACCGUAACAUCAAUGCACACUAUAGAUAAUUCAGAUAAAAAUAACUAUUCAAACGUUAAAGAAAUUGUAUCGACGUAAAAUAUGUUGCAAUAAAUUAUAUAUAGCCUUAUUUUCUUAUAUAACAUGUGCGCCAGUAUACGCACGAGUACGACAUUAACGCAGUCUGUUCGAGGCAAGUAUAAUCGCACGGAAAAUCGCACUUUUAUCUUAAGCACACUUUUCUCCCUCAGACAAUAUUUCAUUCUUUCAUCAAGAGAUUUAUUUCAGUGGUUACACUUGAUGCGUAAUCACGUAAGUGGCGAGAUAGAUAUUCUCUCAUUUUCGAGGCAUAUCUCGCCUGAAUAUUAUAUUUUGCGAAAAACGCUGCACGUUAUUAACGCAGCACGUUAUUAACGUUCCGUAAAUAAUAAAAGAGAAAACACAAUGUGCGAUCGCAUUAGACUUGAAAUGAAAAAAUGAUAUUUAUUCGACAGCGAUCAUAUUACACAUCCGGGACAUACCGGGGUAUUUUCCAUCGAGUCAAGAGAGAACUCGUGAUGCGUAGAGUGACAAAAUUCAUUUUCCUAAUUUCCGAAGUUCUCGCGAGUAAUCCAUAGAUUUGCGCCGAUAAAUCUCAUUUACAAUUUCAUUUGCGACUUCGUGUAUCCUCUUCAUCUUGGCACGAAGCUACGUUCGAAGCUCUCACCGAGACCAACCGAGACUAACGUUACCGCACUUUGCCGAAUAUUCACAUUCUUCGUUUUGUUCGCAUAGCGGACUCAUUCGUGAAUUCGUAGGAGCUGCUGCGCCUAGAGAAUAAGAGAAUUCACAGCUCGCUUUGAUUGAUUUAUCCGACAAUCACGCGUGAAAAAGAAAGAACACUAGUCGAUCGACGAUUGUGCACGGAAUCUCGAAAACAUCGUGACGGUAUGCCGCACAGGAGAUUACGGAGAACCGGCUCGUCUCGACGAGGAAUUCGAAUUCGCGAAUUCGGUCGACAGUUUCGUUCGGUGUUGUCGAGUUAGUCCGCAUCCAUCCCCGAAUCGCACGCACAAAUGGAGUAAUCGUUCCGAUUUCGACGACUGAUCCUCGCUCGCUUCCCCGAUGCUUUCCGACAGCAUUCUGAUGAUUCCGAGGUAACUUUCCGCGCUAUGCAACUUUGGUUAUCUAACUUGGCGUCAUCGUCGUCGUCAGACAAGUGUGCUCUCUCCGUCGUGCAUUGUUGCGAAAUCCGCAAUUGGCAGCGCUGCUCACGAUCGGCCGAUCCGUGCGUAUCUUACUAUAAUACAUGUCGUACUUUUUAAACUUGGUACUUGCUUUUAAAGAAAAUAAAAAUGUCAAAUUCUGAACUCAUGGUUUUUCUUUGUGUGUCUGUAAAAAGAAAAAAAAGCGAGAAAAACCGCUACUCAAAAGAAAAUGUGUUUCUCGUGUCUUUAUUUCUGGAAAUAAUCGUGAACCCUUCCGAGAGAAGUCUUGGAGGCAAACUCGACAUCGUUUAGGCCGUUGACACCGUUGGUUCCUAUAAAUAAAAGGGCAAUCGAGCAUAUUCUAGAACCUACGAAGCUACGAAAAUAUAACACCGCUCAAGUUGUCUGUAAAAUGGAGACAAACGAUUACUUUAUUGUUGAUACGAUAGAAAUGAUUAGUUUACGUCUAGAUCAAUCUUAUCUGAUCUGAACCCAUUAUUUAUCAAUAAAAAAUUGAUAUCGACAAUUGAAUCCAAAAACAAGCUUUUACCCGGUAACGGAGAUGGCAUUAAGAGAGCAUCUUGAUUGCAUUAGAAGACGAGAUAUACUCGAUUUUCUACAGAGUUACCUGCUCUUGUGCGAUGACGUAAAAAAAAGAGAAAAGAAAAUACGAGUCUCUCGACGGUUGCGAAUCGCGUUACGAGCACAGUGCAAUUACGAACGGUAAAGCACGUGAGGUAUUUUUCCGAGAAACGUCCGCUUCUCCCGUUGCAGUGAGUUGCAACAAUAAAAAGCGCGAAUUGGAUCUUUGUUGCUGCACCUACGUACACAUUAUAUAACGUGACGCGAUGGUAAGAGGAGGUUGAGGAACUCGUGCUUUCUCGUUCGUCAGGUUCGUCGCUCAGGUACACAUCGCAGACGAGGGCGAUAGAAGAGCGGUGAGUAGGUGGAUGUACGGAGAGCGUACAUGUGUAUGUCGGAAAGAGGGAGAGAAUGCGCCCGGCUGCUGUGGAUCGAUAAAACGGAGCUGCGUGAUAGACGGCGGGGAUCGUUGGGUGAACGAGACAUACAGUCUGUCUGACGACGGAGGAAAUUGCGUGUCUACAAACUAUUCUCGACGUCCGCCGCAUUAAAUGUCACCGACUCGCGUGAAAUGCAAUAGAAAAACGGAUAGCUUUACAGACGAAAAUCGAUAUCUACCGGCUGGGAAUCAUCAUGAAUGACACGUGCAGCCCCGACGAUGAACGCAGCACGAAGGAAAUUGCACACGCAUACGCGAGCUUCCGAUAAGCGACGUAUCUAGAACGGACUGAGCCAGAUAGCGCUCGCUAGAUGCCAGACACGGUUACGAUUUUCAGCUUCUAGGAUUUAAACGGAUCGAAUUGUAUAGGUUUGGUAGUUAGAUGCGAUUUACAUUAAAGGUAACAAUGACAUUUAUGGCUCUCCAAGUUGUAACGAACGUUGUUGCGACCGUACACCUGGAUUGGACAUUUACCAGAGAGAUCAAAGCGAUGAGACGCGCGCUCCGAAACAUCAGCUCCGCAUAAAAUGUAUCAAACACAAGGAGGACCAACUGAAUCGAAAACACAACUUUGUACAAGCUGUCUUGCUUGGAAUAAAAACUGUUUCAGUUGAUGAAAGUGAUCUACCCUUCGAGUACGUUUCGAUACGCGACACCCCCGUCGAGAUGAAAAUAGAGCUCGCGGAGUUCGCAAUCGACGACGUCACGUACAUGGUCAGAGUUUACCGGUUACUGACCUUUGCUGUCCAGCCGAUCACCUGUCGCACGAUAAAAGAGUCUCGUUCGCACAAUAAAAUUCUAGACGCGCAAAGCUCUCAUAUCAUUCGCGAGCGCGAGCCAUCCACCGCAAGUCGGAAUAAUUCACACAUUGUCAAAUCGAAUUAUACUUAUUACAUACUUGUAUGAAAUUUACAAUAUUGUAUCACGCAUCAUGUUGGAAAAAUUAAUAUUCAUUUUUCAUCAUAGUCCAUCAACGAUGCGCCAAAUCGGGAUUUAAUCUCGUGAAAAUCGCGUUCGAUUGCAGUCCUUUCUUCGUCGGAGAAACAUCACGGCCGCACGAAAAUCCUUGACCUUCUCACGAGACGGUUUCGUUUGAGGAUUUCAAGUGGAGAUUCGCGUCAAAAGGCCGCAUCGAUCGUUCGCGCUUUUUCUGCAUCCGCACCUGCAAAGCGAAGAGACCACCGCACGCAAUCGCUCAUACAAAGGACGAGUUUGUAACUUUGUGCUCGGAGAUUCGUACGCAGCUCGUGUGCGUUAUACACAAUUACAUAUAAAAAACAAGUUAAAUAUUUCGACAACAUUGAUUGAAUACUCUAUUGAACUUGAUAAAUCUCUUUCGAUUGUGCGUCUUUCUACGGCGGCCGCGGCGCAAUUCCAUCUCUCGCACUUUGAAAAUAUGGGCGAAAUGGACCCGCCAUCGGUCAUCGUCGUCGGGAGACGAGGCGCUCGCCGCUCAUCGACGACACUCGUCAUCGUUCGUCUGCUCGAUGACAAUCGAAUCGAUGCUGGCACGUACUUACUUGGCGGCGACGCGAUGCCCUGUCUGGCCAGACGACGUGGAAUCGUCGCUGUCGUUGCCGACGUUGGUCUCGCGCGUCGGGGGAUGCGCCGCGGCAUGGCUCCCGUCGUCCGGAUUCGCGACGAGCGUGUACAUACAGAACGGACACGCACCACACUCACGAGAAUGCGACGCGUCGUUUGCCGGUCGUUUGCAUUGUCCUUGACGCGCGCGCGCGUUCCUUCGCGCCUGUUCGCUUCGACGGUAGCGCGGAACGCGUGCAACACGGAUGGACAGGUACGACGAGUCUCCACUUAACCCUUGAGCGCAGCGAGCAAUCGCUCCGACGCGACUACUACCAGCGCCAUCCCGUCGGCGCGGGCGCGACCUCCGCCACCGUACCAUCGAACUGUCCGCGGAAAAAGCAGGCAUCGAUUUACCGAUAGUAGAUUAAACGUAUAGAUAUGAAAAAAGAACGAAGGAUGUCUCUUCUGUCAAUUUCUUGCGUACGUACAUGCACGCAGCUCUGUAAUUUUUCUUCGUAAAAUCAUUCGUGUUGUCGAAGAAGAUAAUUACCGUGAUCGUUUGCAUUUGUUCCCGGCCGUAUCGAACCCGUGCACCGUGCGGGGAUCGGGUUGUGAAACAAAUGAUGGUGCUAACGACUAACGUAUAUCGCGUCCAACUGACAGGUAGAACAACGCAACUCCACUACUGACCCCCUAUGUGGAAAUAAUCGAUAUAUGGAUGUAGUCAUGUAUGAUUGAGCUGACGUACCGUACGAUAAUACAAAUGCAUACGGUACACGUACACGAGUGUGCGCGCAAAUUUCACACACCGAUUUCGAGCACGACGAGCGUUACGCUCGUAAGAGAGACCAUCUACCUGGCGAUAACAGCGAUAAUCGAAAGCCGCUCUAUACACCAUAUAUAAUGGCAGUUUUUCAAAUACGGAUUACAUUCGACGUAUUACGUCGAUUCAAGAUCGAUUCAAGCGUCAAGCGAGGUGGUAUUCUCACUUCAGCUCGGGGAGGAAGAUAACUCGAUGAUAAACGUUCCACGUGCCAACUAUAACGCUACAGAGUCCACGCGUGGUCGAUUACGCGUCACAUCCCGCCCGAGGAAUCUAACGUAUCUGACUGUACAGACGGUUCGUUCCCUCUACACGCAAAUUGUACACGCUCGCGUCGAGACGCUAUAGAAUGCGAUACACACAGGAAGAACUCGAGUGGUCUGGAAUGUGCGGAUACAUCACAGCGCGAAAGGUGAGAGCCUAUGGCGGGAGAAAAA